GGUUAAGCGACUAAGCGUACACGGUGGAUGCCCUGGCAGUCAGAGGCGAUGAAGGACGUGCUAAUCUGCGAUAAGCGUCGGUGAGGUGAUAUGAACCGUUAUAACCGGCGAUUUCCGAAUGGGGAAACCCAGUGUGUUUCGACACACUAUCAUUAACUGAAUCCAUAGGUUAAUGAGGCGAACCGGGGGAACUGAAACAUCUAAGUACCCCGAGGAAAAGAAAUCAACCGAGAUUCCCCCAGUAGCGGCGAGCGAACGGGGAGGAGCCCAGAGCCUGAAUCAGUGUGUGUGUUAGUGGAAGCGUCUGGAAAGGC
rnacentral:rRNA from 1 species